rnacentral:pre_miRNA from 1 species
AAUCAUUUCAACAACAAAUUUGUCACUUUGUGCCACGUAGGCUAUUUUAUUAACAGUAAUGGCCGAAAGUUAACGGCUGGAUAUAUUUGUUGCACUUUUUACA